rnacentral:rRNA from 1 species
CGCGGCCUAUCAGCUUGUUGGUGAGGUAACGGCUCACCAAGGCGACGACGGGUAGCCGGCCUGAGAGGGCGACCGGCCACACUGGGACUGAGACACGGCCCAGACUCCUACGGGAGGCAGCAGUGGGGAAUAUUGCACAAUGGGCGAAAGCCUGAUGCAGCGACGCCGCGUGAGGGAUGACGGCCUUCGGGUUGUAAACCUCUUUCAGCAGGGAAGAAGCGAAAGUGACGGUACCUGCAGAAGAAGCGCCGGCUAACUACGUGCCAGCAGCCGCGGUAAUACGUAGGGCGCAAGCGUUGUCCGGAAUUAUUGGGCGUAAAGAGCUCGUAGGCGGCUUGUCACGUCGGGUGUGAAAGCCCGGGGCUUAACCCCGGGUCUGCAUCCGAUACAGGCAGGCUAGAGUGUGGUAGGGGAGAUCGGAAUUCCUGGUGUAGCGGUGAAAUGCGCAGAUAUCAGGAGGAACACCGGUGGCGAAGGCGGAUCUCUGGGCCAUUACUGACGCUGAGGAGCGAAAGCGUGGGGAGCGAACAGGAUUAGAUACCCUGGUAGUCCACGCCGUAAACGUUGGGAACUAGGUGUUGGCGACAUUCCACGUCGUCGGUGCCGCAGCUAACGCAUUAAGCUCCCCGCCUGGGGAGUACGG